rnacentral:rRNA from 1 species
CAGCCGCCGCGGUAGUACGUAGGUGGCAAGCGUUGUCCGGAAUUAUUGGGCGUAAAGGGCUCGCAGGCGGUUUCUUAAGUCUGAUGUGAAAGCCCCCGGCUCAACCGGGGAGGGUCAUUGGAAACUGGGAAACUUGAGUGCAGAAGAGGAGAGUGGAAUUCCACGUGUAGCGGUGAAAUGCGUAGAGAUGUGGAGGAACACCAGUGGCGAAGGCGACUCUCUGGUCUGUAACUGACGCUGAGGAGCGAAAGCGUGGGGAGCGAACAGGAUUAGAUACCCCCGUAGUCCCUGUCUCUUAUAC